AUUGAACGCUGGCGGCAUGCUUUACACAUGCAAGUCGAACGGUAACAGGUUAAGCUGACGAGUGGCGAACGGGUGCGUAAUGCAUCGGAACGUGCCCGAUCGUGGGGGCUAACGCAGCGAAAGCUGCGCUAACACCGCAUACGAUCUGAGGAUGAAAGCGGGGGACCGUAAGGCCUCGCGCGAUCGGAGCGGCCGAUGUCAGAUUAGGUAGUUGGUGGGGUAAAGGCUCACCAAGCCAACGAUCUGUAGCUGGUCUGAGAGGACGACCAGCCACACCGGGACUGAGACACGGCCCAGACUCCUACGGGAGGCAGCAGUGGGGAAUUUUGGACAAUGGGCGAAAGCCUGAUCCAGCAAUGCCGCGUGCAGGAAGAAGGCCUUCGGGUUGUAAACUGCUUUUGUACGGAGCGAAAAGGCUCUCUCUAAUACAGGGGGCUCAUGACGGUACCGUAAGAAUAAGCACCGGCUAACUACGUGCCAGCCGCCGCUGUAA
rnacentral:rRNA from 1 species